GAGAAAUGGAAUCAUCCUAUCGCUGAUCUACGUAAACAAAUUGAAGAAUUGUCUGAAAGAAAAUAUGACAUGAACUUAUGAAUUCAACAGGUGAAGAUUUACAACUUGAUAAAUCAGCUUUGUGAGCUCGAGCUGUAAAAGCCAAAGGUCCGGUGAUGAUCCCAUACCCUUUUUUCCAGUCUCAUGUUGAAGAUUUUUAUGUAGAAGGCCUUCCCAAAGGAAAUUUUUUUUUUUUUUUGAGAUGGAGUUUUCACUCUUAUCGCCCAGGCUGGGGUGCAGUGGCGCAACCUUGCUGGUCACUGCAACCUCUGCCUCCUGGGUUCAAGAAAUUCUCCUGCCUUAGCCUCCCAAGUCGCUGGGAUUACAGGUGCCCACCACCACACCAGGCUAAUUUUUGUAUUUUUAGUGGAGAUGGGGUUUCACCAUGUUGGCCGGGCCAGUCUCGAACUCCUGACGUCAAGUGAUCUUCCCGCCUCGGCCUUCCAGAGUGCUGAGAUUACAGACGUGAACCCAUGCCUGGCCAGGAAUUUUGUUUUUUAGGAAGGCUUUCUACUAAUGGAAUUCCUGGCCUUGAGAGGAUGUUACUUUCGAAGGAAAGGAUUUUUUUGUUAUUAAAAGAAACAGGACCUUGCCCUGUCACUCAGGAUGGAGUUCAGUGCUCCUAUCAUGGCUCAUUAUAGCCUCAAACUCCCAGGCUCAAGCAAUCCUACCAUGUCAGCCUUCCCCUAGCUGGGACUACAGGUCUCACACUGUCACCCAGGCUGGAGUACAGUGGCACAACCUCUGCUCACUGCAGCCUCCACCUGCCAGGCUCAAGCAAUUCUCCUGCCUCAGCCUCCCGAGUAGCUGGGAUUACAGGUAAGUGCCACCACACCCAGCUGAUUUUUGUGUUUUUUGUAGAGACGAGGUUUCGCCGUGUUUCCCAGACUGUUCUCAAACUCCUGAGCUCAAAGCAGUCCACCCACCUUGGCCUCCCAGAGUGCUGGGAUUACAGGUGUGAGCCAUCUUGCUCAUUCUAGUUUAAACUUUUGAGUGGUUUGUGUCUCCUGAUUGGACUCCUACAAAUACAGAAUUGAUGCUAGGAAGGGUACCAGGAGAUAGACGCACACAGAUGGGAUUUGGGAAUAGGUUUGGUUAUCCAAGGAGCAGUGCUGAGCUCCUUGCUAAUGGGAUAUGGGAUGCUGGUGAUUUCCAGGAAGUGAGCUCACAAUGACUCAAGCUGCCACAUACUGUUGAUUGUGAAAUGCCAGUUGAAGUAUAUGUCCUGCGAGCUUAGGGGUGCUACAAGUUGACCACUGCAGCAGUAAAGAUGACUCUGAAGAAUGGCGUGGGAUGGAUCCUUUCAAAUGCACUUGAGCAGCGGUCUCCAACCACAGGGCCACAGAGCUGGAGCUGGAUCUACUAUGAAGGACUUCUGAAUCCAGGAAGAGAGACUGACUGGGCAACAUGUUAUUCAGGUACAAAAAGAUUUGGACUGUAACUUAAAAAUGAUCAAAUAAUAGUGCAUGCAUCAAGUGCAAUGGGAAGCUCUUCUGGAGAGUGAGAGAAGCUUCCAGUUAAGGUGACAUUGAAGCCAAGUCCUGAAAGAUGAGGAAGAGUUGUAUGAGAGUGGGGAGGGAAGGGGGAGGUGGAGGGAUGGGGAAUGGGCCGGGAUGGGAUAGCGCAAACUGCCCAGGAAGGGAAACCAGCACCGUACAGACCUGAACAACGAAGAUGGCGUAUUUUGUUCAGGGAAUGGUGAAUUAAGUGUGGCAGGAAUGCUUUGUAGACACAGUAAUUUGCUUGUAUGGAAUUUUGCCUGAGAGACCUCAUUGCAGUUUCUGAUUUUUUGAUGUCUUCAUCCAUCACUGUCCUUGUCAAAUAGUUUGGAACAGGUAUAAUGAUCACAAUAACCCCAAGCAUAAUAUUUCGUUAAUUCUCACAGAAUCACAUGUAGGUGCCACAGUUAUCUCCAUUUUAUGAAUGGAGUGAUGAAGCCUUAGGAAUAAUGAAUGAUUUGUGCAGGCUCACCUGGAUAUUAAGACUGAGUCAAAUGUUGGGUCUGGUCUGACUUUAAUGUUUGCUUUGUUCAUGAGCACCACAUAUUGCCUCUCCUAUGCAGUUAAGCAGGUAGGUGACAGAAAAGCCCAUGUUUGUCUCUACUCACACACUUCUGACUGAAUGUAUGUAUGGAGUUUCUACACCAAAUUCUUCAGUGCUCUGGAUAUUAACUGGGUAUCCCAUGACUUUAUUCUGACACUACCUGGAGUUAGCACAGACCCCACAAGUUAGGGGCUCAGUCCCACGAGGCCAUCCUCACUUCAGAUGCCAAUGGCAAGUCCUAAGUUGUCACCAUACUUUUGACCAACCUGUUACCAAUCGGGGGUUCCCAUAACUGUCUUCUUGGGUUUAAUAAUUUGCUAGAACAGUUUUCA